rnacentral:rRNA from 1 species
AGUGAACGCUGGCGGUAGGCCUAACACAUGCAAGUCGAACGGCAGCACAGGAGAGCUUGCUCUCUGGGUGGCGAGUGGCGGACGGGUGAGGAAUACAUCGGAAUCUACUUUUUCGUGGGGGAUAACGUAGGGAAGCUUACGCUAAUACCGCAUACGACCUACGGGUGAAAGCAGGGAACCUUCGAGCCUUGCGCGAUUGAAUGAGCCGAUGUCGGAUUAGCUAGUUGGCGGGGUAAAGGCCCACCAAGGCGACGAUCCGUAGCUGGUCUGAGAGGAUGAUCAGCCACACUGGAACUGAGACACGGUCCAGACUCCUACGGGAGGCAGCAGUGGGGAAUAUUGGACAAUGGGCGCAAGCCUGAUCCAGCCAUACCGCGUGGGUGAAGAAGGCCUUCGGGUUGUAAAGCCCUUUUGUUGGGAAAGAAAUCCAGCUGGCUAAUACCCGGUUGGGAUGACGGUACCCAAAGAAUAAGCACCGGCUAACUUCGUGCCAGCCGCCGCCGUAA